CCGUUGGUGAACCAGCGGAGGGAUCAUUACAGGACUCGCAAGACUCCUACAACCCUGUGAACUUAACUAUAAGCACGUUGCUUCGGCCGGUGUCUCGGAGGGGGUUCUCCCUCCCCGAGACGCUAAACCCGCCGGCAGCCUACUAUACUCUGUCUCUUUGCGUUGGCAUCUCGAGUACAAUCAAACAAGUUAAAACUUUCAACAACGGAUCUCUUGGUUCUG
rnacentral:misc_RNA from 1 species